UGAUAAUGGCUAAACAUCUUGGACAGCCUUCAAAAUGCAAUCAGCCUGAUUUCUAUUUUAAAGAAAUC
rnacentral:sRNA from 1 species